rnacentral:miRNA from 1 species
AACAACCGGUAACCCUGUCCG